UACGAAGGGGGCUAGCGUUGCUCGGAAUCACUGGGCGUAAAGGGUGCGUAGGUGGCGGGGUAAGUCAGGUGUGAAAUCUCGGAGCUCAACUCCGAAACUGCACUUGAUACUGCCUUGCUUGAGUACUGGAGAGGAGAUUGGAAUUUACGGUGUAGCAGUGAAAUGCGUAGAUAUCGUAAGGAAGACCAGUGGCGAAGGCGAAUCUCUGGACAGUUACUGACACUGAGGCACGGAAGGCCAGGGGAGCAAACGGG
rnacentral:rRNA from 1 species